CAGUCGCCGCGGGAAUACAGAGGGUGCGAGCGUUAAUCGGAUUUACUGGGCGUAAAGCGUGCGUAGGCGGCUUCUUAAGUCGGAUGUGAAAUCCCUGAGCUUAACUUAGGAAUUGCAUUCGAUACUGGGAAGCUAGAGUAUGGGAGAGGAUGGCAGAAUUCCAGGUGUAGCGGUGAAAUGCGUAGAGAUCUGGAGGAAUACCGAUGGCGAAGGCAGCCAUCUGGCCUAAUACUGACGCUGAGGUACGAAAGCAUGGGGAGCAAACAGGAUUAGAUACCCGAGUAGUCCCUGUCUCUUAUAC
rnacentral:rRNA from 1 species